CCUUGAAAAUGAAUGAUAGGCUGCAUUUAACAAGGCAUUCAUAUUUCUUGUGAAGCAGAAGCUUUUCCAAAGGCUUUAGCAGGGAGGUAGAAAGAUUACCAAAUGAUCACAAUCCCUAGACACGGUACAUUUUAACCUUAGAGGCACACACACACACAUGCGUGCGCACACACACAUGCACACCCAGAGUGAGAACACCACUCAUCAGAAGGAAAAUCAUGUGGUAAAAGAGAUGCCUCCAAAUCAGUGUAAGAGAGAAAAAUCUUUUAAAAUACUCCUGGGACUAGGGACUAACUGGUAAAGGAAGAGCGUUAUUUUUUCACGGAGCUAAUGAGCCAGACAAAGAAUUAUUAUUGCUCAGUAUAGAUUUUUUUCCCCUGACAACUCUCUCUCCAAAACAAAGGUGCCAACUCGGUAAACAAAGAGAAGAUACACUUUAGAUCUGGAUGGUACGAGUCCAGGAAUAUUUUAUCAAAGGAAAAGAAGACCUUUGAGGAAAGACACAGAAAGACAUGCAGAUUUUGUCUUGCCUUUUUCCAGCAUAAAAAGAAAGAGGUGGAUCCUGCACGCUCCCCCGCAUGGAUCUGACAUAAAAGGAGGUCAGUGACACCUGACCACAAGGAAGGACUCAAAAAGCCAAAGUCAACGGCAGGUCCUAAGAGUGCCAUUCGCAUGGCGGGGCGUAAAACCCAACUUCAGUUUCUCAGUUGGUUGGACUUGCCAGCACACACACAGACAGACAACAGGCGCCCCCUCCUACCUCCCAGCGCUGCCUCAGCACCGCGACCCCGGCUUAACCACCAACUUGAUUCCCAGCCCGGAGCUGUCAACCUGACACGAGGCGGAGGAGUUCUUCUAAGCUGGCAAGAAAGACCCAGGCGGAGGGGCAGCAGCCGAGCCAGAGCCUGGCCACAGAUAUAGCAUGUUCCACUCCCUACCUGCCAACAUCCUAUUGUCUGCUAACAACUGCCAGCCAAGGUUGAACACUGCUGUAUGAAAAGUCUCUCUCUAUAGGCACCUUAGAAACACACCGAAUCGUCCUUCUGUGAAAUACACAGCGCAACAGUGGACGGAGAAUGACAGUCCUGGAAGAUGAGCUUCCAAGAAGGUUCAUCACUAGACCUUCAGCAGCAUUUUGAAUGGAUGAAUUAAACGUUAAUAACUGUCAGAUAGCUGGGACCAGAAAUUAACUGCAAAGUGAGAGGACAAUUUUCUGGUGCAGGUGCUGUAGAGGCCAACCAGGGGCUGUGCUUUCCCUGACCAACUGCUCACAAACAGGGAAGAACUGGUAGGGAAUGUACUAGUUGGUGGAACCUUGUGCAGCAGUGACCAUGAGGUGACUGAGUUCAGGAAUCUGAGUAAAGGAAGGCUGGAGAGCAGCAAAAUAAGGACCCUGGACUUUAGAAAAUCAGACUCUGACUGGCUCAGGAAACUCAUGGGCAGCAUCCCCUGGGAAGCCAGGCUGACUGCAAAGUGAGAGGAUUGCAUGCUGGAUUUGAAAUGCUGCUUAAGUUUGAUUUUUUUUCAAUUGCUUGUGUAAGAAAUAAAGAAUUACAAUA